GUGUCAGCCGCCGCGGUAAGACGGAGGAGGCAAGCGUUGUCCGGAUUGACUGGGCGUAAAGCGCGUGUAGGCGGGAUCUUAAGUCGGUGGUGAAAUCCUCUGGCUCAACCAGAGAACUGCCACCGAAACUGAGGUUCUUGAGGGCAGGAGAGGAGAGUGGAAUUGCUGGUGUAGCGGUGAAAUGCGUAGAGAUCAGCAAGAACACCCGUGGCGAAGGCGACUCUCUGGACUGCUCCUGACGCUGAGACGCGAAAGCCAGGGGAGCGAACGGGAUUAGAAACCCCAGUAGUCC
rnacentral:rRNA from 1 species